UUGAAGACUGUUUCUAAAGAUGAAACGCAGAUUUUGUUUGGUCAGCAGGAAUUUACUUGGUUAGGAGCAGAAGGUGGCCAUCCACCAUAUUUAACCGAUACACUUCAACAUGAUGGAUUUUCCGCAUGGAUUUAUGGGGAUUAUCAAGCCAAGACUCAACAACCAGAUGACCUAUGUGACGUCAAAAGAAUGACGGGGUCAUAUCCUGCCAUAUUAGGAAUGGACCUUGGUGAUAGGAGCUACAAACCCAACAUCACCAGCCACUGGUUGGGCAGAAGAGCUUAUGAAAGGAAUGAAAUAAUAACGUUAUCGAUACAUUUCAAAAACCCAGUGACGGGUGGAUCCCCAUGGAUUGGGGGUGAUAAAGGGGAUACGUUGAAGACUGUUAAAAGACUCCUACCAGGAGGGGAUCACAAUUCAAAGCUUAAUCAGGUCCUUGACGAGGUUGCUUCAUGGGCACACUCUUUCACAGACUCUCAAGGAAAACUCAUCCCUGCCAUUUUCAGAUAUUUACAUGAACUGAAUGGCGGAUGGUUUUGGUGGGGACUGAAUAACAAGGCUCAGAAUACCGCACAAGAAUUACAAGAGUUGUAUCGCUAUACCGUUCAAUAUCUAAGAGAUCAGAAGGGUGUUCACAAUUUCCUUUACGCCUACAGUCCCGAUAAAUUCGCCAGCAAAGACGAUUACCUCAAAACUUAUCCUGGUGACGACUUCGUGGAUAUUUUCGGCAUGGAUUGGUAUUACGCCAGUCCUUCGGAUCUCAAAACUACUCUGCAUCGGAGCGUGAAAGAUGUCGUCGAAAUGGCGGAAAAGAGAAACAAGAUUCCUGCCCUGACCGAGACCGGCUACAUGGGGGAUGGAAUCAACAAAUUUCCCAAUUUCUGGCAGGAGUACAUCCUCGACAUUUUAAAAUCUGAACCAACGACCAAACGAAUCGCUUACGUUCAUACCUGGUCCAACCAUUGCUAUGGCAACGCUUACUGUGAAAUAUGGGUACCAUACAAAGGCCACCCCGCAGAAUCAGCUUUUGUCAAUAAUUUCUAUAAUGAUUCCUUGACAAUUUUUAGCAAUCAGCUGCCCCAAUCUAUCUACUGAA